rnacentral:lncRNA from 1 species
GGGCUAUAGAGAGACGUGAGCUGUUUAACUACCCCUCAGAAAGACUAUUCUGCCAGGAUAAACCACAUAGGUAAGCCUGUGCUAUCAAAUUUGUGCAACUAUAUAUGAGAAAGUUGCAAGCAGGUUAUAACUUGUGAUUGUUUGUCUCUUUAAAAUCUUUCCAGCUGGGAGUCAAACAGCCUCAAGUGAUGCUGGGAGCCUUGUGAUAAGCUCACUGGAAGGAGAAUGAGGUUAAACUGCAAUCUCUCCCAAUCACCUAGGAACUGCCACAGAUGCUACUGGAAAACAGUUUCUACCUGACUUAUUAGCAGCCCACAAGAUUCUCAAUAGCUCACAAGCCAGCUCACACAACUGAACUAUCACAAAGGAAAGUAGAUUUCUGUCUCACAUUGCUUGUAUAAUUAAAGGUACAAUUGAUUAUUCCAAUUUCCUUUAAAAUGCUCCGCUGUGUGUU